GCAAGUCGAGCGAGAAGUUUUUUAGCUUGCUAGAAAAUGGAAAGCGGCGAACGGGUGAGUAACACGUUGAUAUCUGCCUUCAAACCAGGGAUAGCCAACUGAAAAGUGGAUUAAUACCGGAUAGUCGCUUAGGAGUAAAGAAUUUCGUUUGAAGAGGAGUCUGCGGUCUAGCAGCUAGUUGGUAAGGUAAUGGCUUACCAAGGCUAUGACGGAUAGUUGGUCUGAGAGGAUGAGC
rnacentral:rRNA from 1 species